AUUGAACGCUGGCGGCAGGCCUAGCACAUGCAAGUCGAGCGGUAGAGAGAAGCUUGCUUCUCUUGGGAGCGGCGGACGGGUGAGUAAUGCCUAGGAAUCUGCCUGGUAGUGGGGGAUAACGUUCGGAAACGGACGCUAAUACCGCAUACGUCCUACGUGAGAAAGCAGGGGACCUUCGGUCCUUGCGCUAUCAGCUGAGCCUAGGUCGGAUUAGCUAGUUGGUGUGGUAAGGGCUCACCAAGGCGACGAUCCGUAACUGGUCUGAGAGGAUGAUCAGUCACACUGGAACUGAGACACGGUCCAGACUCCUACGGGAGGCAGCAGUGGGGAAUAUUGGACAAUGGGCGAAAGUCUGAUCCAGCCAUGCCGCGUGUGAAGAAGGUCUUCGGAUUGUAAAGCACUUUAAGUUGGGAGGAAGGGUUGUAGAUUAAUACGCUGCCAUUUUGACGUUACCGACAGAAUAAGCACCGGCUAACUACGUG
rnacentral:rRNA from 1 species